AACGAACGCUGGCGGCAGGCUUAACACAUGCAAGUCGAGCGAGACCUUCGGGUCUAGCGGCGGACGGGUGAGUAACGCGUGGGAACGUGCCCUUCUCUACGGAAUAGCCCCGGGAAACUGGGAGUAAUACCGUAUACGCCCUUUGGGGGAAAGAUUUAUCGGAGAAGGAUCGGCCCGCGUUGGAUUAGGUAGUUGGUGGGGUAAUGGCCCACCACGCCGACGAUCCAUAGCUGGGUUGAGAGGAUGAUCAGCCACACUGGGACUGAGACACGGCCCAGACUCCUACGGGAGGCAGCAGUGGGGAAUCUUAGAAAAUGGGGGCAACCCUGAUCGAGCCAUGACGCGUGAGUGAUGAAGGCAGUAGGGUUGUAAAGCUCUUUCAGCUGGGAAGAUAAUGACGGUACCAGCAGAAGAAGCCCCGGCUAACUCCGUG
rnacentral:rRNA from 1 species